rnacentral:rRNA from 1 species
UACGUAGGGGGCAAGCGUUAUCCGGAUUUACUGGGUGUAAAGGGAGCGUAGGCGGCUGUGUAAGCCAGAAGUGAAAGCCCGGGGCUCAACUCCGGGACUGCUUUUGGAACUACAUGGCUUGAUUGCAGGAGAGGCAAGUGGAAUUCCUAGUGUAGCGGUGAAAUGCGUAGAUAUUAGGAGGAACACCAGUGGCGAAGGCGGCUUGCUGGGCUGUAAAUGACGCUGAGGCUCGAAAGCGUGGGGAGCAAACAGG